rnacentral:snoRNA from 1 species
CUGAAGCUCCAAUGUGGUGGAAAGAAGGGUAGUAUAUGCAGCCUGUUGCUUAUACGGGCUGCCCUAAGGGACCUCAGAGAGAGCC